rnacentral:lncRNA from 1 species
AAAGGAGUUUCGAUGAUGUCGAUGAUGAGAUCAUGACAUGUCUUAUUACCAUACAGAAUUGAACCUAACUGGGUCACACAAACAAGGGUUAGGGUCUGGAUGUCAUCAAUUGGGCUACCCCAAUUGAUUUGGAUAAGAUCCAAUUAGGUUCAAAAAAAUCAUGCUAGCACUCGAUUGAGCCUAACUUUCUCCUCGUGUAAUCUUUUCUGUCUCUACUGAGCCAAAUAUGAUUUGGCUCAUCCAGAGAACCUUAGGAAGGUUUCUCUCAGUCUAAUUGAAGCUUGUCCAGCUUAGAAAAGGCUUGUCUUAAUUCAUGAG